UUCCCAGGCUAGGGGUCUAAUCAGAGCUAUAGCUGCCGGCCUACACCACAGCCACAGCAAUUCGGGAUCUGAGCCGCGUCUGUGACCUACACCACAGCUCACGGCAACGCCGGAUCCUUCACCCACUGAGCAAGGCCAGGGAUCAAACCCACAACCUCAUGGUUCCUAGUCAGAUUCUUUAACCCCUGAGCCAUGACGGGAACUCCCCCUUCUUUAAUUUUUGGCCACACCCAUGGCCUGCGGAAGUUCUCAGGCCAGGGAUCAAACCCAAAUCUGAUAGAGCGGGAGAGCCAGAUGACAAACCAGCCAACGAAUGAAUCAAGAAGAUUCUUAUAACAUGUGAAGUACACCAAAGAAAUAAAAAGCCAGAAGCCACAGAGAGUGACGGGGGCUGGGGGGUGGGGGGGCAUCGUACCAAGGAUUCUCAUGUGUAUCACUUCCCUCACCCUCUGAAGAUGCAGUGGCUUCUGUGGGAGAACGUGGAUUACAGUCAGGGCCUGGGACUGUGUGCACACAGGAUCACGUGUAAGCAGCAGGAGAAGUGGCUGGUGUGGCCCAACGAAAUUCCCCAUGGGAAGACAUGUGCACGGAGCAACAACACAGGAAGAGAAUUCAAAGGCGCUUUCAUGUAAUUAACAUUCGGCAAGCAUGGUUUUGGUCUGUGUUUUUGUAAUGCUGCUGAAGUUCAGAGCUUCAAAGACACUUCUGCUAAAGUCUGCAGGGCCCCAAAAUGAGGACCACAGGGAUGCAUUCAUGGGGCACAAGCUGGCCAUCUUGGGGGGGUGGCUGCUGGUCACACUCCAGAGCCAAUGUGCCUUUUCCAGGCUACCUGUCCUGAGCAGAAUGAAUUCUUUUCUCUCCCAUGUUCCCACCAGCCUUUAUUCCUAAUUCAGGCUGGGUUCUUGGACACUGAGUUAGAGUUAGCAUCUGUUCCCUGGGUCUGCUUUAACCAUCUGGAUGAAGCAUCUGAGACUGACAGGAGCUAAUGUAUAAAUACCCCCCAGCUGUCCUGCCCCACAGGUAGGAUAAUCCUAAGAUAUAUGUUCUUACACUGGCUGCCAGUUUCCCUGGUGGGAAUAACCCCCUGUCACCCACUGUGGUAGCCGGCUUGCUAACAGACCCUUUAGCAGUGGCCUUCUCUUCCUCAGCUCAGUCUCGAUUCCUCUACUUUAACCUCCCACAUAAAUCUUUACCACUCAAGUCCUUGCUGAAGGUAUGCUUCUGGGGAAACUCAACCUAAGACAAGGUUAAGGUGGAAACCUACCCUAUGUAAUGUUGUUAUGCGGAUUCAGAGGAGAGAACAGACAUCACACACACCCAGAGUGGCACAUGGUAGGCACUCAGCAAUGUGGACUUCCCUUCUGUAGGGACCACUCCCCGCUCCAUUCUAUCUGUUCCCAGCACCGUCUUGCCUACUGAGCGCUUCAAAGCCUUCCCGGGCUGCCUAUGUCAUGCUCUACUAUUUCCAAAGCAGCUGCUGGGUAAUUACAGAUUCUAAUUAUAACUUAUCUUUAUGAUUUGGAUAAAUCCAUUAGAGACACCUCUGACAAACCCCCAUUGCUCAUCUUGUCUUGAAUGUGUUAACCACACUCAACUGUGAAAAAGAGGCAGGCAAAGAGGUGUGCUUGUUAACGAGGGGGCCUGAACAGGAAGCUUUUCGCACCAUAAUCUCAUUAAGGGGGACCACACCAAUUGAAGGGUGUGUCAGACUCUCCCGAAGGAGCUUAGUGAAAGUGCAUGUUCCUGGGCUCUUCCUGUAGAGAUUUGGAUACAGAACAUCUGGAUGGAACCCAGGAAUUUGCAUUUUAGCAACUUUCCAAAGGGAUUCUUAAGCAAGGGACCCCCCCCACCACAAGACACACUUGAAGAAACAUGGCCCCUUUGUUCUUUCUUGGCACUAGAGGUCACUGGCCCAGCAUCUGGAUCAGAGUAAACUCCCAUCUAUCCAUCCAUCUAACAACUCUUGUUGGUCACAUCUUCUGUCCCAGCCCUGACGCUAGGCACUGGGACGACUGUAAUAUUUGUCAAAUGAGAACAGGAUCCAUAUCUGCCACUUUUAACACAUCAGGAACCAGCUUUCAACACACAGUAGGUCCUCAGUGAAGACUCAAGGACUGCCAGGGCCUUCCCAGCAUCAAGGAAGGAGUUUGGGGGCCUGCCUCACUGAGGAUUCAGUAGUUUUAUGGUGAGUCCAAGAGAUUAAAAUGUACUAGAGGUUCUUAUA
rnacentral:lncRNA from 1 species